CUUAAUCUCGAGUCAAUAUGCUUAAUCUCAGGUCAAAUCGCACUCCAUGGUCAAACUUCCCGAAAGGUCACCCAUCCCUCUCACUACUCCAGCCUGAGCACGCUUAACUUCCGGGUUCUAUUCUUCCUCGUUUCCAUGUCUGCACUUGUUGUUUUCCUGACAAUAGUAAGAUGUCAAUCCUAUUAACCUUAGGAAUUUAGCUUGAGCAUGUACUGACACAUUUCACUGUUUGAGUUUGAAACUAUUGUUCUAAAAAAUUAGUAACACUAAUAUUUCUUGAAUAAUUAGUUCGCACACAGUUUGACCAGAUUUGACCAUAGUUUGACCAGAUUUGACCACACUUUGACCAUAGUUUGACCAUAUUUGACCAAAAUUCAAAAAAACUAAAAUAAUUAUUUAUUAACACUAAUAUUCUUGAAUAAUUAGUUUGACCAUAGUUUGACCAGAUUUAACAAAAACUAAAAAACUAUUUUUUUUGAAUUUUUUUGCCUCCAGAUCUUAAAAGCCCCGUAACUUUUUUUCUAUUAGGCUUUUGAGGAUUUU
rnacentral:lncRNA from 1 species